CUUACUUCCAAACGAGCAGGGUGAUUGAUCUCCCGGGAGAAGGUUGUCCGCUCAGUCCAGCUGGCUAGACGAUCGUUCGGCUAGAGUCUUCUCCGGAUGCACUUCCAACAAUUCCAGCGUUUUCUCGGCCCGCAAUCACGUCGCGGUCACCAUUUGAGGAGAUUGAAGUAGACGGACGCCUCUCAGUUUCAUCUACA